CCUACGGGAGGCUGCAGUGAGGAAUAUUGGUCAAUGGGCGUAAGCCUGAACCAGCCAAGUCGCGUGAGGGAUGAAGGUUCUAUGGAUCGUAAACCUCUUUUAUAAGGGAAUAAAGUGUGGGACGUGUCCUGUUUUGUAUUUACCUUAUGAAUAAGGAUCGGCUAACUCCGUGCCAGCAGCCGCGGUAAUACGGAGGGUCCGAGCGUUAUCCGGAUUUGUUGGGUUUAACGGUUGCGGAGGCGGCCUUUUAAGUCAGCGGUGAAAGCCUGGGGCUCAACCAUAGAAUUGCCGUUGAAACUGGGAGGCUUGAGUAUGUUUGAGGCAGGUGGAAUGCGUGGUGUAGCGGUGAAAUGCUUAGAUAUCACGCAGAACCCCGAUGGCGAAGGCAGCCUGCCAAGCCAUGACUGACGCUGAUGCACGAAAGCGUGGGGAUCAAACAGGAUUAGAUACCCCAGUAGUC
rnacentral:rRNA from 1 species